rnacentral:rRNA from 1 species
UACGUAGGGUGCAAGCGUUAAUCGGAAUACUGGGCGUAAAGCGUGCGCAGGCGGUUAUGUAAGACAGGAUGUAAAUCCCCGGGCUACACUGGGAACUGCAUUUGUGACUGCAUAGCUAGAGUACGGUAGAGGGGGAUGGAAUUCCGCGUGUAGCAGUGAAAUGCGUAGAUAUGCGGAGGAACACCGAUGGGCAGGAAGGACCCAAUCCCCGUCGGACCUGUACUGACGCUCAUGACACGAAAGGCGUGGGGAAGCAAACGAGGAUUAACGGAAACC